UAUAAUUUAUUGUGAUAUUUCAGAAUUACCAUGGAGUCUCAGAACAGCUCAAUAGAUCUAGACCACAGUUCUGUAUUAAGCAGUACUAAGAAUGAUGAUGUUGAAGAUAUAUCUGACGACGAAGCAAUUAGUGAUGGGUCUAGUGAUACAGAGGGACCAGAGGCGAGUGCAGAGAUCAGUAAUGAUAAUUACGUCACCAGUUUACAAACCCCAGCUAAAUCCGGUGGGUUGGUGUACGCUGAAGGAGACAGACACGAGGAUAGAACCUUGGAACUGUCUGCUGAUGAUAAAUCUGUGAGUAGAGCUAGUCAGCUCCUUACCUCAGAUUCAAGUUUAACAUUCUCCAGGGACAAUACCAUCAGGGAAACCACGGUAUCUGAACUAAGUCGAGAGCUGGCGGACCACAGUAGAAAACUACAAGAUGAGGUUGUGGAAGGGUUCGGAGAAAAGGAGGAGAAACAAAUUCUUGAGAACGGGACGGAGGUUAAUCAAGUUGAGGAAAAGAAGUUUGAAAGAAGCAAUCAGGAUGAGGUUGUAUCUAAGCGACCCUUCGAUGAGAUGUUGGAGUCCCAGAUUAGUCCCGGUGAGUUGUCGGAUGUCGAGGAUAACUUAAUUGGAGUUGAAGACGCUCUCCAGCAUCUUCAUAAUUUUUCCGGUGCAGGUUACCCACGGUAUGAGGGGAUGGUAAAUAAGAAAGCAAGAAUAUCUUCUCCUGAUCUACCAGACACAGUUCAAGUUCUAGUCUCUUCAGUUUCAGGAGCCAAGAUUUACCUGAUUGGUACAGCUCACUUCUCCAAGGAAAGUUGUGAGGACGUGAGUAGGAUAAUCCAGGCAACCCAACCUGAUAUAGUUAUGGUGGAACUCUGUAAACAGAGAACAAAUAUCCUGCAUCUUGAUGAGGAAACUAUUCUGGAGGAGGCACAAAACCUUAGUUUAGAACGAUCUCUAGAGGUUCUCCGGCAGCAGGGUACACUACAGGGGGUCAUGUAUCUUCUUCUUCUAUCCAUGUCUGCACAUAUCACUAAGGAGCUGGGAAUGGCUCCAGGAGGGGAAUUUCGAACUGCAUAUAAGGAAGCACAGAAAGUUCCAAGGUGUAUGGUUCAUCUUGGUGAUAGACCCAUAGGAAUUACUCUGCAAAGGGCUCUGGGGGGACUAACUGUCUGGCAGAAAAUCAGACUAGGAUUCAAUAUUCUUACCAGCAAGGACACCAUAACGAAGGAGGAGGUGGAGAAGUGCAAGCAGAGGGAUCUGCUGGAGAAUAUGCUGGCGGAGAUGGCAGGGGAGUUCCCAGCCUUAUCCAGGGUGUUUGUAUCUGAACGUGACUUGUUCCUAGCUCACUCCCUCCAGAUGUCAGCUGACUCCCUUCCGUCCUACUCUGCUGGGAGUGGAGUACCCUCCCCCCGGGUAGUGGUUGGAGUAGUUGGUAUAGGACAUGUUCCAGGGAUAGUAGCGAACUGGGGGAAAGUUACGAAAGAGCAGAUCAGGGAUAUAGUUCGUGUGGAUCCUCCGACUAAAACAGAACGAGUUGUCAAGUUCGCAGUCCGCUUUAUGCUUAUCGGAUCUUGUUGCUACGGAGCCUAUAGACUAGGACGGAUUCCUGUAUCUAGGUUCCUGUUGGCUAGAUGAAACCGUUGUCUUCCGUUCCUCAGCCUUGCAUUUUAAACCAUUCCUUCUCACCACAGAUCAUAGUUGCAAAUUAGUAUUUUUGGAUUUAUUAAAAAUUAAAAAAAUAAAUACUGCGACUUAGCACACUGCACUUGUGCAACUGAUUUAAUCAGUUGUGAUUUGAUUAUUUUGGACUAGGUUUUUUUUCGUAAACAACUUGUUAAAUUUAUAAAGAAUUUAAUUUAUAUUUUCAUUAAGUAUAUAAUUUAAUUUAGUUCGACGAUGAAUAUGUAAAUCUUGUUUACUUCAGA